rnacentral:rRNA from 1 species
AUUGAACGCUGGCGGCAUGCCUUACACAUGCAAGUCGAACGGCAGCACGGGAGCAAUCCUGGUGGCGAGUGGCGAACGGGUGAGUAAUAUAUCGGAACGUGCCUAGUCGUGGGGGAUAACGCAGCGAAAGCUGUGCUAAUACCGCAUACGAUCUACGGAUGAAAGCGGGGAUCGCAAGACCUCGCGCGAUUGGAGCGGCCGAUAUCAGAUUAGCUAGUUGGUGAGGUAAAGGCUCACCAAGGCGACGAACUGUAGCUGGUCUGAGAGGACGACCGGCCACACUGGAACUGAGACACGAUCCAGACUACUACGGGAGGCAGCAGUGGGGAAUUUUGGACAAGGGGCGCAAGCCUGAUUCAGCAAUGCCGCGUGCAGGAUGAAGGCCUUCGGGUUGUAAACUGCUUUUGUACGGAACGAAACGGUGAACUCUAAUACAGUUUGCUAAUGACGGUACCGUAAGAAUAAGCACCGGCUAACUACGUGCCAGCCGCCGCGGUAA